GAGCAGACAUCAGUUGGUCCACAGCAGACGGACAUUCUGGUUGUUGAAUGAUCACUCUUGGGCAAGCCUGAGUGUGCAUGUGUUUUAGGGUAUGGGAUGCGGGUGUGGCUCACUCUGAGUGGGAAGGACACAGCCCUAAAGAAUUCAUGGCUUUAUACUCCCCACCCUCUCAGCUGGGUAUCUCUGGUCUGACAGAUCUGUGCCUCAGAUGUCAAAGCAGUUUCAAGUCGACUUGGUGAGGCUGGGCCGAGCUUCACGCAGUUGGAUUGUGACUGCCAUCUCCGUACCCAUCCACAAAUACAUAUUAGAGUAGAGCAUGAGCAAAACACCAAAAAGGAGAAAGAAGAAAAGGAAACCACCCACUUUAUUACUGCAUUUUCUUUCUCCUUUAAAAAAAAGUUGUGUAAUUCUGCACAUAUGCCUAAAUAGAGUGAGCUGGCUGAGUGUGGCCUCUUUCCUCACCUGUGCUACAGUUUGAAGUGCUGCCUAGCCCUGUACUUGAGGGCUGUCUCGUGUUUUGCUUUAUUUCCCCAUUGCUGCAAUCUAGCUUGCUUCCCUUUUCUUCCUGUAGACAACACUGCAGUGGAAAUCCUGAUGUCUAUGAAUAUCCUUUAUGCCAGCGGGGUGUCUGUGCGAUUCAUGGACAUCAGGGGUGUCCAGCAUCUGCUCCGUCAAGAAUCAGGUGCUGUAGGUGGCCAGAAGAGGGCGUAUGAUUCCCUGGACCUGGAGUUACAAGCAGUUGUGAGCUGCUUGACCUAGGUGCUGGGAAGCAAUCUUUGGUUCUCUGGAAGAGCAGCAAGCACUCUUAAUCCCUGAGGUGUCUGUCCACUCCCUCUUUCUUUUUGAUGCAUUUCAUGUAGCUAGCCUAUUCUAGCCUGGAACUUGGUGUGCAUUCAAGUAUGACCUUGAGCUUCUUUCUAAAA